GAUGAACGCUGGCGGCGUGCUUAACACAUGCAAGUCGAACGCAGUUGAUAUAAGGAAGUCUUCGGAUGGAAAUGCAUCAACUGAGUGGCGGACGGGUGAGUAACGCGUGGAUAACCUGCCUUAUACUGGGGGAUAACAGUCAGAAAUGGCUGCUAAUACCGCAUAAGCGCACAUGGCCGCAUGGUCAGGUGUGAAAAACUCCGGUGGUAUAAGAUGGAUCCGCGUCUGAUUAGGUAGUUGGUAGGGUAACGGCCUACCAAGCCGACGAUCAGUAGCCGACCUGAGAGGGUGAACGGCCACAUUGGGACUGAGACACGGCCCAAACUCCUACGGGAGGCAGCAGUGGGGAAUAUUGCACAAUGGGGGAAACCCUGAUGCAGCGACGCCGCGUGAAGGAAGACGUAUUUCGGUAUGUAAACUUCUAUCAGCAAGGAAGAUAAUGACGGUACUUGACUAAGAAGCCCCGGCUAACUACGUGCCAGCCGCCGCCGUAAGAC
rnacentral:rRNA from 1 species